rnacentral:lncRNA from 1 species
ACUGUUCUAAAAACUAAGCUCACCAACAUCAAAGUUGAGAAACUCAGGUCAGUUUCAGGAGGCUGGUCAGGACGAGGGUUGAAUCACAGGAGAUGGUAGCAAAUUGGGAUCUGCACAGAAAGUAGGGAGGCUGGGCAAAUUCCUGCCUUCCGUGGCACUCAGUGGAGAUACCCUCCAAGUCCCACCCAUUGGUUUGCUAAGGAUAAUGACCUCCAGCUCCACCCACGUUCCUGCAAAGGAUAUGAUCUCAUUCUUUUUAUUUUAUUUUUUAUUUUUUAUUUUUUGAGACGGAGUCUCGCUCUGUCGCCCAGGCCGGACUGCGGACUGCAGUGGCGCACUAUCCAGUUCUAGAAGAGCUAGAGGGUUCACUGCAGAAUGGGGCCUAUGCCUAGUUCUCCUCUCCUCCUGGGCACAUAGAAAGUUUAUACUUCCUUGCACCCUUUGCAGUUGAGCAGAGUCAUAUAACUCAUUCUGGCCAGAGGAUUGUAGACAAAAGUGACACGUGUCACUUCCAGCCUAUAACAUCUAAUUGCCAAUGUGAGACCCUCUAGCUGUUUUUCCCUCUCCUGUGGUAAUUGUGGAAGUGCAUGACACCAUGGAGGUGCUGUAAAAUGGGAGCAGCCGGGAAUGCUGAGCCAACAGUGGUCUCAGAGUCCUCUUGAU